UAUGUUUGGUAGGCCCGGGGAUAGU
rnacentral:piRNA from 1 species